rnacentral:rRNA from 1 species
UACGUAGGGGGCAAGCGUUGUCCGGAAUCAUUGGGCGUAAAGAGCGUGUAGGCGGCCAGGUAGGUCUGCUGUGAAAACGUCGAGGCUCACCUCGAGACGUCGGCGGAAACCAUCUGGGCUAGAGUCCGGAAGAGGAGAGUGGAAUCCUGGUGUAGCGGUGAAAUGCGCAGAUAUCAGGAGGAACACCUAUUGCGAAGGCAGCUCGCUGGGACGUAACUGACGCUGAGACGCGAAAGCGUGGGGAGCAAACGGG